AUAUAUAUAUAUAUAUAUACAUCACUGGGUGAGCAGUGCCCUCUCCAAAUGGAGCUGCUCAGACACCCAUGCAGCAACCGAAUCCUACCGCUGUCUUGGGCAACAAGGAGACGACUUUAUAUCUAGCAUGGGCCGCCUACGAGCAGGUCACUGACUACAUGCUUCCAACCCAUCAGGUCUGCAUGCUUCACCACCUUCCCAUCGCUGCAGGACUU